rnacentral:rRNA from 1 species
GACGGGGCCCGCACAAGCGGAGGAACAUGUGGUUUAAUUCGAUGAUACGCGAGGAACCUUACCUGGGCUUAAAUGUAGAGCGACAGAUUGUGAAAGCAGUCCUUCUUCGGACGAUCUACAAGGUGCUGCAUGGUUGUCGUCAGCUCGUGCCGUGAGGUGUCGGGUUAAGUCCCAUAACGAGCGCAACCCUUAUCGUUAGUUGCCAGCGGGUCAAGCCGGGGACUCUAGCGAGACUGCCACCGUAAGGUGUGAGGAAGGUGGGGAUGACGUCAAAUCAGCACGGCCCUUAUGUCCAGGGCUACACACGUGUUACAAUGGCCGAUACAAAGGGCAGCUACCAGGUGACUGGAUGCUAAUCUCCAAAGUCGGUCUCAGUUCGGAUCGAAGUCUGCAACCCGACUUCGUGAAGCUGGAUUCGCUAGUAAUCGCAUAUCAGCCAUGAUGCGGUGAAUACGUUCCCGGGCCUU